GACGAACGCUGGCGGCGUGCCUAAUACAUGCAAGUCGAGCGAAUCUUGAGGUGCUUGCACCUCUUGGUUAGCGGCGGACGGGUGAGUAACACGUGGGCAACCUGCCUGUAAGACUGGGAUAACUUCGGGAAACCGGAGCUAAUACCGGAUAAUCCUUUUCCUCUCAUGAGGGAAAGUUGAAAGUCGGUUUACGCUGACACUUACAGAUGGGCCCGCGGCGCAUUAGCUAGUUGGUGAGGUAACGGCUCACCAAGGCGACGAUGCGUAGCCGACCUGAGAGGGUGAUCGGCCACACUGGGACUGAGACACGGCCCAGACUCCUACGGGAGGCAGCAGUAGGGAAUCUUCCGCAAUGGACGAAAGUCUGACGGAGCAACGCCGCGUGAGCGAUGAAGGCCUUCGGGUCGUAAAGCUCUGUUGUUAGGGAAGAACAAGUAUCGGAGUAACUGCCGGUACCUUGACGGUACCUAACCAGAAAGCCACGGCUAACUGCGUGCCAGCCGCCGCCGUAAGAC
rnacentral:rRNA from 1 species